GGGGAUUUAGCUCAGUGGUACAAGCACAUGCCUGGCAAGUAUGAGGUCAUAAGUUCAAUCCCCA
rnacentral:tRNA from 1 species